UACAGAGGGGGCGAGCGUUAUUCGGAAUUAUUGGGCGUAAAGGGCGCGUAGGCGGUCUGACAAGUGGAAGGUGAAAUCCCUCGGCUUAACCGAGGAACUGCCCUCCAAACUGUUUGACUUGAGUCCGGGAGAGGUGAGUGGAAUUCCCAGUGUAGCGGUGAAAUGCGUAGAUAUUGGGAGGAACACCAGUGGCGAAGGCGG
rnacentral:rRNA from 1 species